rnacentral:rRNA from 1 species
UACGGGGGGGGCAAGCGUUGUUCGGAAUUACUGGGCGUAAAGGGCGCGUAGGCGGCAGGCCAAGCGUGCGGUGAAAGUCCGGGGCUCAACCCCGGAUCUGCCGUGCGGACUGGUUUGCUAGAGCACUGUAGAGGCGAGUGGAAUUCCGGGUGUAGCGGUGGAAUGCGUAGAGAUCCGGAAGAACACCGGUGGCGAAGGCGGCUCGCUGGGCAGUGGCUGACGCUGAGGCGCGACAGCGUGGGGAGCAAACAGG